UGGUGAGAGUUGUUAGUUCCGUAAGUUCUCUGCGACUCUACCCACAGGAAUUAGUGGAGAGAAGACGAACCAUGAUGGAAGAUUUCCGAAAAUACCGGAAAAUGGCUCAAGAACUCUAUAUGGAGCAGAAAAACGCACGGCUAGAAUUGCGAGGAGGUGUGGACACUGACGAGCUGGACAGCAACGUGGACGACUGGGAGGAGGAGACCAUCGAGUUUUUUGUCACCGAAGAAAUUAUCCCUCUUGGAAACCAGGAGUGACUUGGGAGCGCGGCGGACAGCGAGUGGACGGUGUCCCCUUGUUGCAGCGUCACCGUGUGUUGUGCUGGAACCGAGGUCAUCCUUCUGCAGAAAGCCUGCCCACUGCUGACGUUUCACCUGCGCUUUCUCUCGCCCGGGCUGUGGCCGCGCCUGGGACUCGCCGUCUCCACACGUCGCCGUGCCUUUCAGCCCCUGGUACCCAGGGUGGGGGAGGUUUGCCGGCGCUGCUCUCGGUUUUCUCUCGCUGGGUUUCUAAUCGCGCCCAAGACUGGGCCCCGCCUCACGCGGCCAGCGCCCUCCACAGCCGCGCGGGGUCCCUCCAGGGCUCCCUGGCCACUAGCAGGGAAGCCGCUUGGGGCGCCAGCGCGUCCCCCGCCAUUCAGGUUGUGACAGGUUCUCUCAACAGGCUGAACGUGGAAAUAAAAGCAAACCUGUAUGAAAAAGCUGUCUUUCUCCUGUCUUUGAACGUAGAUAGCGGCCUCGACCUUCAUGCUUCUCCCGUCUGCCACAGUAGCAGCCGCCGCCGGGCUCGGUGCGUCCAGCGCUGCGCUCGAGAGGCAAGGAGGGGCCGUCAGCCUCCCUCCGGGUUUCCUUCUGCUUUGCAGCUGAGCUUUGAAAAGUGAUGCGUCAGCCCGCACACAGUUUCUUCUUUUUUAGUUUUCUGUUUCCUGUGCUUGUCGGUUCACCUGAUGAGGAAGAACCCUUUAGCCUUUUUCUCAGUUACACGGGUUUGGAGACUUACAUUGACAGUUGUCACUUUAGCCACUAGUAUGUGGUCCUGUUUGAAUAUUUAACUCUUCCCCCCGCGGAGGAGGGAGUGAGCAAAUCCAGGUAACUCAGCUCGUUCUCACCUGCAGUGUCCUGCUGCCCUCGGUGCCUUGUGAAGCGGCAGCUUCUUCCACCUCUGUCUCUUUCUCUCCUGGAACCUGAAGCUUAGUUUAAAAAGCAGCGAAGCACGGAACAGGUGCACUUGGAGCUCACAGCCGUGACCUCUGUGUACAGUGGACAGACCUAAGACGACCUUGGGGGGCAGGAGACAGGCAAACGCCUGCCCCCGCAGCCCGGCCGGCUGGUGCGAAGCGGCCCCCGAGCGGCAGGGUCCCCGCUACCCGGCCUCUCCCGUGUGAGCCGGCGCCUCGCGCUCUUCUCCUCUCCGGGCCGGGCCUCUCUCCGCGGCCCCGCGGCCUGCCGUGUAGCUAGCUCAUCCCCGCGCCGCCUCGGAGUCACAGCAAUCCCUGUUUCCUUUCACGUUCUUUCAACUUCACUGUGUCGAGACCUAGUUUCUCUAAUUUCAUGGCAGUAAGAAGGAAAAGGCACAUGGUUCUAUCACAUUAACAGAUUUUUAACAGAGCUUUUGAAAGAUUAACUUUUCACUGUUUUAAACUGGCUAGUUGUAACUUUUACAUAGUUU